AUGGCCGGCUGAGCCAGAUGAUAAUCCUGAAUCGAAUAGGGAUAUUAUAGUAAAAGAGCAAGGUAAAAUAAUUGAAUUUGUAAAAGAGAGAAGAGAGGGUUAAUGGGAGUGGUCCCUACUCCCUACAUAGGAACAGCAGAGAAACUGAGCAUUGUCUCUUCCCUCGUUCUCAUCUCCGUAGCUACAGCUCCUCCACUGCACUCUGCACUCUGCACUCUGCACUCUGCACCCAACCCUUCUCUCUCUUCUUCACCACUCCGCCUAUACAUACACGCUUCUUUCCCUUUUAUCUGCUUCACCUCCUUUCUCUACGUUUCAUACACCAAUUUCAAUGCUCUCUUUUCUACACUAGCCACACCAUUCUCCUCUAUUCCCAAACAAACACAAACGUCUUGGCCUUUUCUUCAUUUCCCUUUUUUUUAUUAAAAAAAAACAAAAAUAGCUCAAUAACUUUUGUUGCUUGUACUUUUUGGGUUUAGGGUUUUGCACCCCCUUUAACUCCCAUUCCCAUACAACUCUAUGCAAUUCUGAGCAUUCAUUAAUUAUUAUAUAAACAAAACAAUGUCUUCGUGUUUAAGCGGAGCAGGGGGAAGAACCUACGGUUUCGAUUUCGAAUUCGUUAAAUCUCCAUCUUCCCCCACCAGAAACUCCCACACAUCUUCUUCACCGUCCUCAACAAUCUCCGAAUCCAGCAAUUCGGCGGCGCUAGCUAUCUCCACCAAGAAACCCAGAACUCCGCGAAAGCGACCCAACCAAACCUACAAUGAAGCCGCGGCGCUUCUCUCCACGGCCUACCCGAACCUCUUCUCCCCCAAGAACCUCAAGACGCACGGCAGAGGAAAAUUCACGCGGCCCACAUCGGAGAAUUUCGAUUACGACUCUUCCGAGCUCCUGUUGCCGUUCAGAGUUUUCGACGGCUCCUCGUCGUGUUUCCUUCUGGACCAAAUGGGCCCCAAGCCCACGGAGAGGCCCAAAGUGGUGAGCGUGUGCGAGAGCCCCGGGGAGAUAAGCUCCGUCGCCAAAUUGAAUUGCCUUGAACUGAACGACGACGACGUUUGCCAAGAGAGCCUCGACGCCGAAUCGAUUCUCGACGAGGAAAUUGAGGAAGGGAUGGAUAGCAUCAUGGGAGGGACCAUCAUCCAAGAGGAAUCCAACGACGCCGUUCGCAACGUCCUAAUGGCCUUCGAGUUCGCCAGACCGCGCGUUAGGGCUCUGCGCCACGUCGACCACGCAAACUGCUGGAACUUUCCCACCGUCGAUAUUCUCCAGAUAUCGCCCAAAAUUAAGCCUCCGCCGCUCGCCGCCGACAAGAAGACCAAGAAGAAGAAGCUGGCGGAGAAAGAGAAACCGGUGAUGGAGUUUAGAAACGUCGAAUUGCCCAAACCCAAACAGGGUUUGAUGUUGAAAUUGAAUUACGACGACGUCCGGAGCGCUUGGUCCGACCGCGGCACUCCCUUCGCCGACGAUAGCCCCCUCGCCGACGCGCCGGAAAAUGACGUCGCUGCGCGGUUGUCGCAGAUUGAUUUGUGGUGGGACAACAAUGGAGGAGUGAGAGAAGCUAGCGUGCUGCGCUACAAAGAGAAGCGGCGAACACGCCUCUUCUCAAAGAAGAUCAGAUACCAGGUGAGGAAAGUCAACGCAGAUCGACGGCCCAGAAUGAAGGUAUGACUCAGUUCAAGUUGAGGACACUCGGACAGAUAUUUCAUUUAUGUCAGAUAAAAAACAUAAGAGAGAGCAAAAUCUUCUUUAUCAUUUGGUGAUGAUAAUUGGACGGGACGGUUUGUUAGGAGGCUCAAUUCUAGUUCGAAUGCACACAGAUGAUAUAGUAUGUAGUUCGUAGCAGUAAAGCACGUGCUUUUUUGGGACUCUUUAUUAAAAGAUAAAAAUUAAAUAAAAAAGAAAGAGAUAGUUCAUUUAUAUAUUUCUGUAACCUUUUACUUUUUUAUUUUUAUUUUUUUUCUUUAGUUCUUUACUUUUUGGGUUCUUCUCCCUUCCUUCACUAUAAGAUAAGGGGGGACAGUGGCUGGUUGAGAUAAGCAACGAAAGCAAAUUGCCUAAGAUUCUAUUACGCUUGAUUCUCGACCUUCGUGUUAUGGCCUCACGGAGAUUCUUCGUUUCAUACUUCCCACUAUGUGGUCUAUGCAUUCUCGUUAGCAAAUUAAAAUAUGCAUCCUGUUGGAAUCAGUACUGCAAAAUAAAAUAUCUAUGACGGGCACUACAAUUCUUUUCA